rnacentral:lncRNA from 1 species
UGGAAUUCGUAUUUCCGGGUAUGUUUCUUAUUUAAUUUUUGUAAUGUUAUUAUUUUUAAUUGUUAGUUAAAGUUUGAAUUUUUGAAGUUUAGUUAGUGUUGUUAAUAAACUAGUUAGUUUACUAUGUUUAUUUUGGCUUGGAAUUGAUUAUGUAAAUGAGUUAUUUGUGAUGACUUUUAAUAUUUUGUGAUGAAUUUCAUUAAUUAAUAAUUAUUAAUGAUAUUAAAGUUAUUUAAUGAUUAUAUUAAAUAAUUUAGUUUAAAAAUGAUUUUAAUAUUAUAAAAAUCAUUUUAAAUGAAAAUAAGGUAUUUAAAAAUAUUUUAAGUUAUAAAAUAUAACUUUUAAUAUUUAAAUGAUAAUUUCAUUAAUAAUUAAAUAUUAAUGAUAUUAAGAUAAUAUUAAUGAUAUUUAGUUUAUUUAAUGAUUAAUAUUAAAUAAAUAGUUUAAAAAUGGUUUUACUUAUUUAAAAACCAUUUAAAGAGGAUAUUAAGGAUUUAAAAAUAUUUUAAGUUAUAAUUAAUGACUUUUAAUAUUUGGAUAAAUAGUACAUUAAUAUUUAAAUAUUAAUGGUAAUUAUUUGGGUAAUAUAAAUGUUUUAAAAAUAGUUUGAGUUAUUAUAAAUAACUUUUAUAUUUUGGCAAUGGUUUCAUUAAUAGUUUAGUAUUAAUUAAACUAUUAAUGAUAAUGGAAUUGUUUAAUGUUUAAAUCAUUUAAUUAUGAUUCCGAUAUUUGAAAGUUAUAGCCGGCCAAACUAGCUGACUUGAGAACCGAUUAUGAAGUUCUGAAUUUGAAGAAGAACACCUAUAGUAACAGUUAUAUCACUAUAGGCCCUUUAGUGACAGAUUUGAAUUAUUUUAAAUUUUUCAAUUUCUGGAAAUUGCGAAAAUGAUUAAAAAUAAGAUGUCUGAUAUUUACAGAUGUUGAGGUAUAGAAUAAGAGUCUUAGACUCAGUAUUUACCCGAUAAAGCUGUCGGUACGCCGACAAAUGUCAGACCUUAUAAAAGAAAGAAAAGACUACUGUAAGAGCAUGGAUGAGAUAUUUGAAAAAUGUAUAAAAAUAUUUCAAGUAUAGAAUAGGAACUAAAAGUAUGAUCACUGUGAUUAUGUGAUUAGACUAUGUGCUGACUGUAAUAGACAGUACUAUGUGUUAAGAUAUAUUGUUCUAAUCGAACGAAUGAUCUGAUUAUUGAUAGGUUGUGAUAAAGAGAUAAAACCUAAGUUGAGAUUUGUAAUCAGCGAAUCAGGCAAGUAUCCUACCUUUGCACUUCCUUUAUGCAAUGGACAUGAGUAAGAAGUUUCAGAAUUAUUCUAUCCCUGUACAGAUUAUGUACUCUUUGAUUAUCGACAUGUUAGCUCAGAUAUAUAUUCUGUUCAUUGAUUUCUAUAAAUGGUUAUACAAGUGUCCCCACUUGGAUAAUCAUGGCAUUUGUUCACAUGUUGAUACACCUUUGUCAAUUACCCGUAUAUAUAUGUUGAAUUACAUAUUAUUGUUGAGCAAGAUUAAAAACCUUCGGGUUUGGAACCAGGCAUGUAUGAACAUCCCUAUAUGGGAAGAUUUUUGCGCAAGGCGGAUAGAGUGAGCGAUGAAUUUCGUUCAAGUUAUGUAGUAUUGAUCAAUACAGGGUACAACGGGGCUGAUCACCCUCCGUGCCCGUAAGUUAUGACGGUUUGAGGAUAGAAUUCCGCUAAACCUUUUCGAAAAUGAAAAGAAUGUUCAUAGUAUGUUUCUUAAACCCUAUUCAAGGGUAGAGCCAGAGCCAAAUUUAAAGAAUUUGAAAGAGAGUUGUUAUGUGAAUUUUUUAUCAGUACAGAUUACUUCACAACUUUCAAUUCGUUGUAGAAGUGUUAUGUAAAGAGAAUACUUAUAUUCUUUCAGCUUAUAUAUAAUUGCUAUUACUUGCUGGGCACUUAAAUGCUCAUCCUUGCUUAAAUUAAAUGUUUUCAGUUAUGUAUGAGCAACCUGAAGGCUCAGGCACGAACAAAGGAAAAGGAAAGCUGAUCGAAUAAGUGUGUAUUAUGAGUUAAUGGUUAUAGUUGUAUUGGUAUCUAUUCAAGUAUCGUAAGGAAUGUAUUUGAAGGUCACGUACCUGGGG